rnacentral:lncRNA from 1 species
AAUUAAAAUAGAUUUUUAAAUAACUAAUAAACAUUUUUGGAUUAAUAUGUUUUUAUUGGGUGUGUUGUUUCAGAUGUUAAAUAAGUUCUUAAUAGUUAAGGCUGUCAAAAAAGUAAUUAAAAGUUGACCCAAAGAGCUAUAUUUUGAUGAGAAUGUUUAAAUAUGUUUUAGCUAUGAUUAAAAGAUCCAUCAGAACAAGUUAUAAAUUAAGAGGGCCCAUAGGCCCAAAUACCGACCAACCUUAUAUUUCAUUAUUUUAUUUAGGUGGACCAUAUCAAUUCUAAUAUGGAGUCAACGGAAUUUGCGGGGCCCGCAACUUUUAUCAUUACCAAAACAUAAUAUUGAUGUGAGAAUAAUUUAUUCAAAUUAAUUUGUUUAAAUAUGUUUUAGCUACAAUUAAAAGAUCCACCAGAACAAGUUAUAAAUUAAGAGGGCCCAUAGGCCCAAAUACCGACCAACCUUAUAUUUCAUUAUUUCAUUCAGGUAGACCAUAUCAAUUCUAAUAUGGAGUCAACGGAAUUUG